rnacentral:rRNA from 1 species
UACGUAGGGUGCAAGCGUUUAAUCGGAAUUACUGGGCGUAAAGCGUGCGCAGGCGGUUUUGUAAGUCUGUCGUGAAAGCCCCGGGCUCAACCUGGGAAUUGCGAUGGAGACUGCAAGGCUUGAAUCUGGCAGAGGGGGGGUAGAAUUCCACGUGUAGCAGUGAAAUGCGUAGAGAUGUGGAGGAACACCGAUGGUGAAGGCAGCCCCCUGGGUCAAGAUUGACGCUCAUGCACGAAAGCGUGGGGAGCAAACAGG